CCUACGGGUGGCAGCAGUGAGGAAUAUUGGUCAAUGGACGAGAGUCUGAACCAGCCAAGUAGCGUGAAGGAUGACUGCCCUAUGGGUUGUAAACCUCUUUUAUAUGGGAAUAAAAUGUUCCACGUGUGGGAUUUUGUAUGUACCAUAUGAAUAAGGAUCGGCUAACUCCGUGCCAGCAGCCGCGGUAAUACGGAGGAUGCGAGUGUUAUCCGGAUUUAUUGGGUUUAAAGGGUGCGUAGGUGGAUUGUUAAGUCAGUUGUUAAAGUUUGCGGCUCAACCGUAAAAUUGCAGUUGAAACUGGCGAUCUUGAGUGCAGUAGAGGUAGGCGGAAUUCGUGGUGUAGCGGUGAAAUGCUUAGAUAUCACGAAGAACUCCGAUUGCGAAGGCAGUUCACUGGACUGCAACUGACACUGAGGCUCGAAAGUGUGGGUAUCAAACAGGAUUAGAUACCCCAGUAGUC
rnacentral:rRNA from 1 species